GACGAACGCUGGCGGCGUGCUUAACACAUGCAAGUCGAACGGAAAGGCCCUGCUUUUGUGGGGUGCUCGAGUGGCGAACGGGUGAGUAACACGUGAGUAACCUGCCCUUGACUUUGGGAUAACUUCAGGAAACUGGGGCUAAUACCGGAUAGGAGCUCCUGCUGCAUGGUGGGGGUUGGAAAGUUUCGGCGGUUGGGGAUGGACUCGCGGCUUAUCAGCUUGUUGGUGGGGUAGUGGCUUACCAAGGCUUUGACGGGUAGCCGGCCUGAGAGGGUGACCGGCCACAUUGGGACUGAGAUACGGCCCAGACUCCUACGGGAGGCAGCAGUGGGGAAUAUUGCACAAUGGGCGGAAGCCUGAUGCAGCAACGCCGCGUGCGGGAUGACGGCCUUCGGGUUGUAAACCGCUUUCGCCUGUGACGAAGCGUGAGUGACGGUAAUGGGUAAAGAAGCACCGGCUAACUACGUGCCAGCAGCCGCGGUGAUACGUAGGGUGCGAGCGUCGUCCGGAUUUAUUGGGCGUAAAGGGCUCGUAGGUGGUUGAUCGCGUCGGAAGUGUAAUCUUGGGGCUUAACCCUGAGCGUGCUUUCGAUACGGGUUGACUUGAGGAAGGUAGGGGAGAAUGGAAUUCCUGGUGGAGCGGUGGAAUGCGCAGAUAUCAGGAGGAACACCAGUGGCGAAGGCGGUUCUCUGGGCCUUUCCUGACGCUGAGGAGCGAAAGCGUGGGGAGCGAACAGGCUUAGAUACCCUGGUAGUCCACGCUGUAAACGGUGGGUACUAGGUGUGGGGUCCAUUCCACGGGUUCCGUGCCGUAGCUAACGCUUUAAGUACCCCGCCUGGGGAGUACGGCCGCAAGGCUAAAACUCAAAGGAAUUGACGGGGCCCCGCACAAGCGGCGGAGCAUGCGGAUUAAUUCGAUGCAACGCGUAGAACCUUACCUGGGUUUGACAUGGAUCGGGAGCGCUCAGAGAUGGGUGUGCCUCUUUUGGGGUCGGUUCACAGGUGGUGCAUGGCUGUUGUCAGCUCGUGUCGUGAGAUGUUGGGUUAAGUCCCGCAACGAGCGCAACCCUUGUUCACUGUUGCCAGCACGUUAUGGUGGGGACUCAGUGGAGACCGCCGGGGUCAACUCGGAGGAAGGUGGGGAUGACGUCAAGUCAUCAUGCCCCUUAUGUCCAGGGCUUCACGCAUGCUACAAUGGCUGGUACAGAGAGUGGCGAGCCUGUGAGGGUGAGCGAAUCUCGGAAAGCCGGUCUCAGUUCGGAUUGGGGUCUGCAACUCGACCUCAUGAAGUCGGAGUCGCUAGUAAUCGCAGAUCAGCAACGCUGCGGUGAAUACGUUCCCGGGGCU
rnacentral:rRNA from 1 species